rnacentral:rRNA from 1 species
UACGUAGGGUGCAAGCGUUAUCCGGAAUUAUUGGGCGUAAAGAGCUCGUAGGCGGUUUGUCGCGUCUGCUGUGAAAACUGGAGGCUCAACCUCCAGCCUGCAGUGGGUACGGGCAGACUAGAGUGCGGUAGGGGAGAUUGGAAUUCCUGGUGUAGCGGUGGAAUGCGCAGAUAUCAGGAGGAACACCAAUGGCGAAGGCAGAUCUCUGGGCCGUAACUGACGCUGAGGAGCGAAAGUGUGGGGAGCGAACAGG